UCUCUGGGCAGGAGGGCCGCAGGCUUAUCAGACACCAGCUACAAUAAUUAACCAUGCAAGCAAAUAAAAACAAGUAUCGGGCAGCGGAUGCUCAUGGGUGACCCGCAGCUCCAGACUGACGAAAGCCAGUUGGCUCGGCCUCUGCAUCCACCAUGGCUUUCCUCAGUCUCCGAACCCUGUUUCACUCACCUGUUCCCUCCACCCUGUCUACCAUCAUUCGCUUCCAGAUCUCCUGCACUCUCACCCUUAAAACCCCUUCUCCCCGGGGCUCCCUCUUUUGCUGCAGUUUCUUCACUAGAAGCUUGGGCCGGGCUAGAGAGCCGAGAGACAGCAGCACGGACUCGCCACGGAGCAGGCCCUCUCCUGCCCGCCCACCACCAGCUCCGAGCAGAAACAUUUGCUGAGCGUGAGCAGAUCCUUCCGGUCCCAUCCCUCAUCUCCCAGUAAAUCUGUAAUUAUUUC